rnacentral:rRNA from 1 species
GACGAACGCUGGCGGCGUGCUUAACACAUGCAAGUCGAACGGAAAGGCCCUGCUUUUGUGGGGUGCUCGAGUGGCGAACGGGUGAGUAACACGUGAGUAACCUGCCCUGGACUUUGGGAUAACUUCAGGAAACUGGGGCUAAUACCGGAUAGGAGCUCCUGCUGCAUGGUGGGGGUUGGAAAGUUUCUGCGGUUGGGGAUGGACUCGCGGCUUAUCAGCUUGUUGGUGGGGUAGUGGCUUACCAAGGCUUUGACGGGUAGCCGGCCUGAGAGGGUGACCGGCCACAUUGGGACUGAGAUACGGCCCAGACUCCUACGGGAGGCAGCAGUGGGGAAUAUUGCACAAUGGGCGGAAGCCUGAUGCAGCAACGCCGCGUGCGGGAUGACGGCCUUCGGGUUGUAAACCGCUUUCGCCUGUGACGAAGCGUGAGUGACGGUAAUGGGUAAAGAAGCACCGGCUAACUACGUG